CGAUCGUUGGCUGUAAGGAGGAUGCGGAGAGGCCAAAGGGGCGCAUCCUGCAAAGAGAGGGAACAGGGAUCCCGUUAUACGAGGAAUAAAGCUCAGAGAAGUUAAUUUGCUACGAAGGUCUCAUAAUCACUAAAACAAGGAUCCAGGAUUCAGACCUGAACUAUUUAACUCUCUAGGCCUCUAACAACCUUGUCUGAAGAAAUGCGUAAGGAAACUCAGGCAAAAGAAAAACAAGGUGGAGACAGGAGUGAGAAAGAAGAGAAGAGAAGAGAAGAGAAGAGAAGAGAAGAGAAGAGAAGAGAAGAGAAGAGAAGAGAAGAGAAGAGAAAGAGUAAAAUACUGAUCAACCUAGAUGUUUGUGAAAUGGGGGUUUUGGAUGCUUGAGAUGCUGAUUAACAGGAGGGAUCAAAGCAUUCAAUGUGAUUGAAAAGCCCCUAAAAAUGUAGCACCUCAACAGUAAACACAAUUGAUUCCUGUGUGUGGGAAACAUGUUGUCAGGGCCUAGAAGUAUCAUUCUCAAAGAGGAGAAAUCUAAUGACCAUUCAAGUCAUUUGGUAACUCAGCAACAUUAUUUUACCCAUUUAUUCUUUCAACAUAAAUAAAUAAUAAAUAAUGAAGCACU